rnacentral:rRNA from 1 species
GACGAACGCUGGCGGCGUGCUUAACACAUGCAAGUCGCACGGGACCCGCAAGGGUUCAGUGGCGGACGGGUGCGUAACACGUGAGGAACAUGCCCAUCGGUGGGGGAUAGCCGGCCCAACGGCCGGGUAAUACCGCGUACGACCUUCGGGUGGCAUCACCUGGAGGUGAAAGCAGCAGUGCGCCGAUGGAGUGCCUCGCGGCCUAUCAGCUAGUUGGUGAGGUAAUGGCNCACCAAGGCUACGACGGGUAGCUGGUCUGAGAGGAUGAUCAGCCACAUUGGGACUGAGACACGGCCCAGACUCCUACGGGAGGCAGCAGUGGGGAAUAUUGCGCAAUGGCCGAAAGGCUGACGCAGCGACGCCGCGUGUGGGAUGAAGGUCUUCGGAUUGU